GGGCCCGCACAAGCGGUGGAGUAUGUGGUUUAAUUCGAUGCAACGCGAAGAACCUUACCAGGGUUUGACAUCCUGCGAAUUUCUGGGAAACCGGAAAGUGCCUUCGGGAACGCAGUGACAGGUGGUGCAUGGCUGUCGUCAGCUCGUGUCGUGAGAUGUUGGGUUAAGUCCCGCAACGAGCGCAACCCACGUCUUUAGUUGCCAGCAUUUAGUUGGGCACUCUAGAGAGACUGCCAGCGUAAGCUGUGAGGAAGGUGGGGAUGACGUCAAAUCAUCACGGCCCUUACGUCCUGGGCCACACACGUGCUACAAUGGUGGGGACAACAAGUUGCCAACCCGCAAGGGUGAGCUAAUCUCAAAACCCCAUCUCAGUUCGGAUCGGAGUCUGCAACUCGACUCCGUGAAGUUGGAAUCGCUAGUAAUCGCGCAU
rnacentral:rRNA from 1 species